rnacentral:rRNA from 1 species
UACGAAGGGGGGCUAGCGUUGUCCGGAAUCAUUGGGCGUAAAGCGCGUGUAGGCGGCCCGGUAAGUCCGCUGUGAAAGUCGGGGGCUCAACCCUCGAAAGCCGGUGGAUACUGUCGGGCUCGAGUGCGGAAGAGGCGAGUGGAAUUCCUGGUGUAGCGGUGAAAUGCGCAGAUAUCAGGAGGAACACCGAUUGCGAAGGCAGCUCGCUGGGACGUUACUGACGCUGAGACGCGAAAGCGUGGGGAGCAAACAGG